rnacentral:rRNA from 1 species
UACGUAGGGUGCAAGCGUUGUCCGGAAUUAUUGGGCGUAAAGAGCUCGUAGGCGGUUUGUUGCGUCGGCUGUGAAAUCCCGAGGCUCAACCUCGGGUCUGCAGUCGAUACGAGCAAACUAGAGUGUUGCAGGGGAGACUGGAAUUCCUGGUGUAGCGGUGAAAUGCGCAGAUAUCAGGAGGAACACCGGUGGCGAAGGCGGGGUCUCUGGGCCGUUACUGACGCUGGAGGAGCGAAAAGCGUGGGGAGCGAACAGG